rnacentral:rRNA from 1 species
GAUGAACGCUGGCGGCGUGCCUAAUACAUGCAAGUCGAGCGAACGGACGAGAAGCUUGCUUCUCUGAUGUUAGAGGCGGACGGGUGAGUAACACGUGGAUAACCUACCUAUAAGACUGGGAUAACUUCGGGAAACAGGAGCUAAUACCGGAUAAUAUUUUGAACCGCAUGGUUCAAAAGUGAAAGACGGUCUUGCUGUCACUUAUAGAUGUAUCCGCGCUGCAUUAGCUAGUUGGUAAGGUAACGGCUUACCAAGGCAACGAUGCAUAGCCGACCUGAGAGGGUGAUCGGCCACACUGGAACUGAGACACGGUCCAGACUCCUACGGGAGGCAGCAGUAGGGAAUCUUCCGCAAUGGGCGAAAGCCUGACGGAGCAACGCCGCGUGAGUGAUGAAGGUCUUCGGAUCGUAAAACUCUGUUAUUAGGGAAGAACAUAUGUGUAAGUAACUGUGCACAUCUUGACGGUACCUAAUCAGAAAGCCACGGCUAACUACGUG